AUCUAUUUAGGUAGAGCCUUAUGUGAAUACCUUCGGGGGUAGAGCACUGUUUCGGCUAGGGGUCCAUCCCGGAUUACCAACCCGAUGCAAACUGCGAAUACCGAAGAGUAAUGCAUAGGAGACACACGGUGGGUGCUAACGUCCAUCGUGGAGAGGGAAACAACCCAGACCGCCAGCUAAGGUCCCAAAGUCUAUAUUAAGUGGGAAACGAAGUGGGAAGGCUUAGACAGCUAGGAUGUUGGCUUAGAAGCAGCC
rnacentral:rRNA from 1 species